rnacentral:rRNA from 1 species
UUUUUUAGGNUUUNNNUNCCCCGUCAGGACGAACGCUGGCGGCGUGCCUAAUACAUGCAAGUCGAACGCUUCUUUCCUCCCGAGUGCUUGCACUCAAUUGGAAAGAGGAGUGGCGGACGGGUGAGUAACACGUGGGUAACCUACCCAUCAGAGGGGGAUAACACUUGGAAACAGGUGCUAAUACCGCAUAACAGUUUAUGCCGCAUGGCAUAAGAGUGAAAGGCGCUUUCGGGUGUCGCUGAUGGAUGGACCCGCGGUGCAUUAGCUAGUUGGUGAGGUAACGGCUCACCAAGGCCACGAUGCAUAGCCGACCUGAGAGGGUGAUCGGCCACACUGGGACUGAGACACGGCCCAGACUCCUACGGGAGGCAGCAGUAGGGAAUCUUCGGCAAUGGACGAAAGUCUGACCGAGCAACGCCGCGUGAGUGAAGAAGGUUUUCGGAUCGUAAAACUCUGUUGUUAGAGAAGAACAAGGACGUUAGUAACUGAACGUCCCCUGACGGUAUCUAACCAGAAAGCCACGGCUAACUACGUGCCAGCAGCCGCGGUAAUACGUAGGUGGCAAGCGUUGUCCGGAUUUAUUGGGCGUAAAGCGAGCGCAGGCGGUUUCUUAAGUCUGAUGUGAAAGCCCCCGGCUCAACCGGGGAGGGUCAUUGGAAACUGGGAGACUUGAGUGCAGAAGAGGAGA